rnacentral:lncRNA from 1 species
CCAGAAAAUGGGAUAAAAUCCUCGAUAAAAACAAAAGAACGGCGAAACAAACAUUUAGUUAGGGACGUUCUUUAAUACAAAGCAAAGCUAGCCCUGUUAAAUAAGGACAAAUAAAACCUAAAUGCGAUAUUAACUAUAUCUUAAAACAACUAAUAUAAACUUAAAAAUUGUUCUCGUUGGAUAAUAUAUGUUUCCUAUAACAUUACUCUAAAACGGAAUUUCCGCCUUUUUCUCCCGAUAUAGAUACAGUGUUUGAUGGGAGAAAUCCUAUCUGUUUCCACGACAGUUUUCCGGGACCGCUCAUUAGAAAUGCUAGUUCUCGGGACAGAAGAAUAAAACGGUUAAAGAGGUUUUUAAACCUCUUUCUAGUUGUGGUGAUUUACUUGCGUCUCUUUGCCUAGUUUUAAAUUUAGUCUAUAAUUGGGAAUUGUUUAUUGUCAUUUACCGAAACCUUUUCUUAGAAUUUAAAAAUUCUAAGAAAAGGUUUCGGUAAAUAGAUAAUUCCCAUAUAGACUAAAUUUAAAACUAGGCAAAGAGACGCGAAUAAAUC